GCCGAGGUAGCUCAGUUGGUUAGAGCAUCGCACGCGCAAUGCGAGGAUGUGGGAUCGUUCCCCACCUUCGGCA